rnacentral:rRNA from 1 species
AUUGAACGCUGGCGGCAGGCCUAACACAUGCAAGUCGAACGGUAACAGGAAGAAGCUUGCUUCUUUGCUGACGAGUGGCGGACGGGUGAGUAAUGUCUGGGAAACUGCCUGAUGGAGGGGGAUAACUACUGGAAACGGUAGCUAAUACCGCAUAACGUCGCAAGACCAAAAAGGGGGACCUUCGGGCCUCUUGCCAUCGGAUGUGCCCAGAUGGGAUUAGCUAGUAGGUGGGGUAACGGCUCACCUAGGCGACGAUCCCUAGCUGGUCUGAGAGGAUGACCAGCCACACUGGAACUGAGACACGGUCCAGACUCCUACGGGAGGCAGCAGUGGGGAAUAUUGCACAAUGGGCGCAAGCCUGAUGCAGCCAUGCCGCGUGUAUGAAGAAGGCCUUCGGGUUGUAAAGUACUUUCAGCGGGGAGGAAGGGAGUUAAGUUAAUACCUUGGCUCAUUGACGUUACCCGCAGAAGAAGCACCGGCUAACUCCGUG